UCGAGGGAGAAGCCUUCGGGCUAAGACCGGCGCACGGGUGCGUAACGCGUAUACAAUCUGCCUUUUAUCCGGGGGAUAGCCCGAAGAAAUUUGGAUUAAUACCCUAUGGUAUAAGAGCACGGCAUCGUGCACUUAUUAAAGCUACGGCGGUAAAAGAUGAGUAUGCGUUCUAUUAGCUAGUUGGAGAGGUAACGGCUCCCCAAGGCGACGAUAGAUAGGGGUUCUGAGAGGGAUGUCCCCCACACUGGUACUGAGAUACGGACCAGACUCCUACGGGAGGCAGCAGUGAGGAAUAUUGGACAAUGGUCGGAAGACUGAUCCAGCCAUGCCGCGUGCAGGAUGACGGCCUUAUGGGUUGUAAACUGUUUUUGUAAGGGAAGAAUAAGAGCUACGCGUAGUUUGAUGACGGUACCUUACGAAUAAGCAUCGGCUAACUCCGUGCCAGCAGCCGCGGUAAUACGGAGGAUGCGAGCGUUAUCCGGAAUCAUUGGGUUUAAAGGGUCUGUAGGCGGGCUUGUAAGUCAGAGGUGAAAGCGCUCAGCUCAACUGAGCAACUGCCUUUGAAACUGUUGGUCUUGAAUGGUUGUGAAGUAGUUGGAAUGUGUAGUGUAGCGGUGAAAUGCUUAGAUAUUACACAGAACACCGAUAGCGAAGGCAUAUUACUAACAAUUAAUUGACGCUGAUGGACGAAAGCGUGGGGAGCGAACAGGAUU
rnacentral:rRNA from 1 species